UACGGAGGAUGCAAGCGUUAUCCGGAAUGAUUGGGCGUAAAGCGUCCGCAGGUGGCUAUGUAAGUCUGCUGUUAAAGAGUGAGGCUCAACCUCAUAAGAGCAGUGGAAACUACAUGGCUAGAGUGCGUUCGGGGCAGAGGGGAUUCCUGGUGUAGCGGUGAAAUGCGUAGAUAUCAGGAAGAACACCGGUGGCGAAAGCGCUCUGCUAGGCCGCAACUGACACUGAGGGACGAAAGCUAGGGGAGCGAAUGGG
rnacentral:rRNA from 1 species